rnacentral:rRNA from 1 species
CAAGAGCGUAUAUUAACGCUGCUGCUGUUAAAGGGUUCGUAGUUGGAUUCAGGGAUAGGAGGGUUGUGGUUGGCCUCCGGGCUAUACGGCCGCAGUUUCCUCCUUCUCUGUUUGUGUGGAACCGUAGCCCUGCGAUUUCCCUUAGGGGGAUGAGCAAAUCCGCAUAUGCCUUAUGCAUAAAGGGCCGUCCACCAUUAUUACUGUGAGCAAAACAGCGUGUCCAAGGCAGGCUUUGCCAUGAAUGAUAAAGCAUGGAAUAACAAUGGAUCGCACGAAUACAGCGAAUCUUGUGGGUUUUCAAGCCGCAUUCGUAUAACUUCCGAUGCUAUCUACCUAAUUGCUUCGUUGUACGUGACAUUAUGGAUCGUGCCGAGCGAUGAGGCCCAGAUGCUUCGGUUUGGGGAUCAAUGGGGACUGUCGGGGGAAGACGUAUUACCACGUCAGAGGUGAAAUUCUUAGACCGUGGUAAGACGGCCUACAGCGCAGGCAUCUUCC